GCCUGAGUGACACAGCGGUUUGAGUGUUGGGCUGAGACUCUGGAAACCCAGGUUCAAUUCCCAGUGCAGCCA